rnacentral:rRNA from 1 species
UGCGCAGGCGGUUUGAUAAGCCAGAUGUGAAAUCCCCGAGCUCAACUUGGGAACUGCGUUUGGAACUGUCAGACUAGAGUGCGUCAGAGGGGGGUGGAAUUCCGCGUGUAGCGGUGAAAUGCGUAGAUAUUAGGAGGAACACCAGUGGCGAAGGCGGUCUGCUGGACAGCAACUGACGCUGAGGCGCGAAAGCGUGGGGAGCAAACAGGAUUAGAUACCCUCGUA